CCCGCCCCAGGUGGACGUCCAUUGUCUGGUGGCCGGACCUUCCCUGGGAAACUCUCCGGGGACAAGGCCAAGGCGCGGCUCUCUGCCUCCCAACUCAGCCAACUGGGAUCUCCGGAUUUCCACGUGGACAUCCCAUAGCUCAGCAGAAGGCCGGCCACACAGACGGAAGAGACAGUUGUUCCUGCCUUAUUAUAUGAGGCCAACAUGGUGGAGGAGUCGGUAAGACCAGGAGGAUUCUGGUCUUCAUUUGCAAGGGACAAGCAAGGCGGUUCUUUUGGUGAAACAAGGAAUCCUAUGAAAAGCCCGAACAACCAAAACACAAAACAAGGAUGGCUGGAAGUGGCUUCUUCUCUGCCAGAUUUGCACCCGGACCUUGGACUCCACAGAGGCCACCUCUCCCAGCCCCAUGCCCUUGAGAGGGAGGCAUCUGGAUGUCCCUGAGGUGGAUCGAUCGCCUUGUGGGGAACCUGAAGCUCUUCCCAUAUUGUUUCAGCGUUGCCCUGGUAACGGGACUCCUUCAGAGCCCCAACAAAGCAUUAGAGAGCACCGCCUUCCUCUCUAUUCUUCAUGUAUGUUUUUAAGCUUCUACUUUGUCAGCCACCCGCAUAAUUCUCCCCCUCCGCAGCCCCGGGAAGGUAAUUCAAUCAUCCCCAGCUCUUGUCAGGGAGACACAGAAAGGAGAGCCUUUUCCUGCCUAUUUAUUAGAUUGAUAUCUCACCUUUCCUUUGAGGCGCUCAAGGCGCUGGACAAAUAACUUCCAAAUUAUACAAGUAAUUUUUACAAUGAACAUUUAUAAAUGUCCUAAUAUUGAAAAUUAACUGAGAGAGUGGGUGCUGUGGGGACAGGCAGGGAAGGAGGAGAGGAAAUCGAUGGGAAAUGAGAAUCUGAACAGGGCUGCCAAUGCCUCCCAGGGAGGGGGAGAGAGCCCAGGGCCCUCUGGAUUGGGGCAGCCAUGUCCCGACUGGUCAGGAACAGAGGAAAAUAAGGGGGGAGCAGAUCUCUUGGAGUCAUGGGCCACGGAUGAAAAAGACCUUGGAGAUGACCUAAUCCCGCGUAGGUGAACCCGUGACCUCCCUCUCUCCACCACGCCCACCUGAGGACAUUUCUCCAUCACCCACCCCUCUGCCCAGUAGCCCAGUGGGAGCUCUUCCUCCCUCCCCUGUCUGGGGAGCUAGGGGCUCGCAUGCCGUGUGAGUGCCGUUUGGACUCUUGGUCUCCGAAAGGCUCAUCGUCCCUGAUCUGAUCCAAGCCGACCUUAUAUUAGAGGAGAGGACUGAGCCUCAUGAAGUCAGAGUGACUUGUACAAGUCACUGACGAAGUCCAGACUGGAACUUGGGUCUUGGCACUUCACUUUCUGUGUUCAUUCCCCUUUGGGAGGACAGGGUUCCUUCUCCUGUCUUCUAUUUAAACCCCAUUUCCAGAAAAGGAAUAGAUAAACUUGUUCACCUUGAGUUCCCUUUAGCGAGAUGUAAGGUCUCUCCCCAGCAGAUUUUACUCACUUGCCAUAUUCUUCGUGCCAGAGACAUGGACUCGUUGUGCAAAAUCACAAUAUCGUGUUCUUGAUGGAGCAAACGGAUCGUCUCCACUCAUCAGUAGUCCUAUGACAGCCCCAGCUUGGCCAGGGAGCAGCUGGAAUAAUCAAUCAACUUGAUGCUCCAACGUAGCUCUGGAGUUUUGUGAAUUCGGUUUCCUCCAGGUGUCCUGCAAGGGACAAAAUAGCAUUAUUCCCUCUUGCCCCAUUGGAUACCAAAGAUGCCAGUCCUGGAGCAAGAGGCUGGGAGAGCCUCAUUCAUGCUGGUGCUUCGGAUAGGAGCAUCCUUCCUCUGCCUAGGUCUGCAAAGGACGCUGACCCCAAACCAUUGGAUGCUUAAACUGAAGCCAACCUGCUUAGGUAGAGGUGUAUUCCAAGUAUUCAGAUACAAAAUAGAAGCUUAGCAGCUGUUUCUUUAAAAAAUAUAUUGAAUAGCUUGUGUAGACAGUCCCCUACUUAUGAGGCAUCGUUUGGCCCCUAGAGAAGGCUGUGAUGGACAGUCAAUGCUGUCAUUUCUUCUGAAGUGUUUUGUAAUUAUUAAGAAGAGAAAGACUAACAGAAUGCCUAAGCAUGAGGCGUGCCAAUAGAUCACACUGCCAAGAAAAAUGAGAAAGCGAAUUCCUGACGUUAUUAUCCUGUUAGCUCAGAACCCCUCCUGAUAGAAAGAACCUUGAGUACACUGGGAGGGUUUCUAAUUUCUUCCCUCAAGUUCAUACCAAUCUCCUUCUCCUCUGAAAGAACCUUUGAUAAUAUUAGCACAUAGCAUUAAAGGCUGAUCAUUAAGCUUCACUUAAAAUAACUUAUGCUCAAAAGGGAAGAAGAAAACAAGAGUUAAUCGAGCAUCUACUGAAUAGCAGACACUGCAAAGUCUUUCACAAAUAUCUCAUUUGAUACUCUGGAAGGUAUGUACUAUUAUCUCCAUUUUACAGUUGAGGAAACUGAGGCAGAGAGAGUUUAAGUGGUUUUCCCAUGAUCACACAGGUCACAAAGAUUUAUACGGUAGAACAAACACAAAGAUUCCUAUCUAGCCCACAGAGAAUCAGUCAUCAAGCUUCUGCCCCUUUUUGCUUGGAUUCUCUUUCCUUUUUGGGCAAAAUUUGACUUGGCCAACUUAUUGCUUUUCUUAAGGUUGGACAGAGACAAAGAGGAAGUAAUUCAAGAUUCUUAUCAUUCCUACCUCCUCCUACUCAGCCACUCUUCAUAGAAAAGUGUGUUAUUCUUGGACUUUAGAAGCCCACACCAAGAAGAAUGCCAUCGAGAACCAAGGGCAGUGCCCCUAACUCCAUUGCCUAGCACAGAGGACAUCACUUUGACUCCGCAAUUGGAAGACCUGGAUUCCAAUGCCAUUUCUGAUUCUGGAUUCCUGCGUGACCCUGGGCAAGUCAUUUAGACUCAGUGGCCCUUAGGAUUUCUUGCCUACAAAAGAAUAUUUGGGAGUCACGGCUGGGUGUCUUUCAAGCUCCUCCACUGAGAUGCAGCUGAUCUACAGCCCCGACUUCUCGGCUUCUCAUUUGCUUCCCUCGCACACGUCCAGGAGCGGCGUUCUGUGCGCCCCGGCAGAGCCGACAAUAAAGUACUGCAUUUAAUCUGACCAUGAAGACAAGAAGAAAACUACCCCCACACUCUUUACAGACAGGCAGAUGGAUUCCAAGGAAUCAGUUAAAGAACAGGAGGACAGAUAGUCUUGAGAAAGGGCUAAGUCCUGGAUGACCAAAGACAUUGGCAGCUUCUCUUCCCAGCACAGGCUUCUCUCAACUCCCGAUGAACUCGCUAUUGAACCCCAAAGAAACGCUGCUGGGAGUGGUCUGAGCCUCCGAAAGCCUCCUGACUUACAGGGAUGUGGCCCGGCUCCAAGCAGAUGGACCCUGGCCGGCCCCGAGAUGGCUGAGCCGCCGCCACCUCCUCCUCGGCGGGAGGAAACUAUCAAAGUGCCGGCGAGGCCAAGCUUUGGCUCUUCACUCACUGCCCGUCUUGUGGGUUUCCCAGCCUGAGGAAAGCUCCCGGGCGCACGUGGGGACCAGCUUCAGGGUCUGCUGGCCCAAAGCUCUUCCUGCUGAAAGUCUCCGCAGGGAGAGGAGGCAGGCGGAGUCUGCGCAGCUCAGGGGAGCAUACGCAGAGCCUUCAGCAGGCCAGGCUAAGGGAGCCCCCCCAGCCCCAAAGCGCCUGCGCGCGCUGCCCGUGUGCCCCGCGGCUUCAUCUGCCCAGCAGCACCCUCCUGGUGUCGGUGGCCCCCCCACACUGCUGCGGAGGAGGAGGAGGACGGAGACUGGCCUCUAGAACAAGCAAGUUAUCCCCUGGAGAGCUCUGCCUUUGUGGAUUUCCCUCGGCUGCAUCCAGACAAGGGGAGCUGCCUUAGCUGCCUCAAUGAAUCAGCCAUCGGAGAACAUCUGGGGAGGGGGCUGGGGCAGGUUUGGGAAAACAGGGAAAGUGGAAAAGUCAAGACCCAGCUAAAGAAUAUCCAAGUAGGGAGGAGCCCUGGCCUGGGGGAUGGGAGGGGCCUCCUGCCUCCGCGUCCCUCCAGUGUGUAUGUGUGUGUGUGUGGGCAGGGCUGGCAGGGCGCAGGGGCAGAGCGAGCCCCAGAGAAGAGUGGGGAGCAGCUGGAGAGUCCAGCCCCGUGAUGUGACGUGGGGCAGGGGACGCCCCCUGCCUGAGACGCCGCUGUCCAGGCCUAGACCUUCUCUGUCAUUGGCAGCCUCUCAGGACGGGAGGCCCAUCCAUUGGCAGACCUCUGCGCUCUCCCCUGAGCAAUAAAUGUCUUCACCGGACGGAGUGCACAGGUCGGGCACCCCGUGCUGGAUGGCGUCUCGUCUUGUUUAGGCUUGCUGAUUUGGUCCUCAUGGAUUAUAUUCUGUGGGGCGGGGCGGGAAGGGCCACCCAGGCUCAGCCCUCCUAGCGGUCCUUUGCUCUGAAGUCAGGGCCAAGGGCGCCGCCUGCGGGGGAUCCCCGGCUCCCGCCUAUGCAAAGCGCCCCUGAGGCUGUUCCUGCUGAAUGGCCCCUGAAUGCGUCCCCUCCUCCCACCCUCGAGCCCACUCUCUGGGCCCUCUCAGGCUCAGGCCACCCACGACUGCUCUGAGCCCCCUUCCCGAGUAUGGGAAAUCCCCCUCCCAAAAGCUCGGGCCCUUCCCAUAGGGCUUUAGCUUGGUCUUUGCCCGUCAUGCCCUCGGCUCCACUUCUGAGCCCUGGUCUGAUCUCCGCGGAGACACGGGCGAGCCCACCGGGCCCCGGGGAGGGUGCCGGACUGCUGUGGCAUCCUAGACGUUUGUUAUGGGGAGAGUGAGUGGCGUAGUCGGCCCUCGCACAGUGGAACUUCUCUCCACAGCUGCCCAUUCCCGUGGUGGAGGCCUCCAUUUUCCCUCUUGGUUCCAGGAGCAAGGAAAGGCCAUUGCUGGGGGAAGGAGCGUCUCUUAGACGUGCCCCAGAAACUGGGCCCUUCCUGCUCCCUUGAGGACCUUCUCUUCCCCCGCCCAUCCACCAGUGCCUCCUCUUCCUCCUCCCCACCCUCUCAGAACCUUGCCACUUCUGCCGGGAACUGCAGCAAUACACAAAUGCUCUAGAGAGGCCUCUUCGUUCCAGAAAAGGCCGUUUUUUCUCUGUCUGAGCUUGAAAAGAGCCUUGUUAGGGGGCUUUGGGGGAGGCCCCGAAGCUGCGGCCUCGGGGGUCCCGGUUUGUUUGGUGGCUGGUGAAUUGCCGGGGUUUCUGCAUGCCUGCUCGCCUGGGAAGAGAGGGAAAGGUCCCUCAUUGAGCCGCCUUUCCUGGAGAGGAAAAAGAGGAGGCGAGGAGGGUUGGGGAUGGGGAGGAUGAAUCCAGGAAUGCUUUGGAGAAUCCGGCUUAUUUCAGAAGCCAGGGGACUCACCAAAGGAACCAGGAGUCACAGGAGGCCUGGGAUGGAGGGCAAUGGCCCCCGGUCCUGGAGGUGACCGCUUCCUGUUGGGUGCCUGGGCAGAUACUCAAGGGACUAUGAAACCCUGUUUUUCCUGGGCUCAAAGCUGCUUCUGCCAUUGGAGGUGGAGUGAGGGCAGUGAUUUCCCUCAAGCGCUGACGAAGUCGCCUACUUCUGUGGAAUCUUGGAGAAAAGGCAAUAGAUGAAGACGGAAUGCCAAGGGGGAAGGGAGAGUGGGAGUUGGGCCUAGGAAGAAGGAAUAGCACCUGCCACUGUGUGUGGGGGGGGGGCAGCUUCUAGGGGACAAAUGAAGAAGGAAUGAAAAAACAGUAAAUUGGGGUCCUGGAGGAGCCUUGGAGGAAACUGGGUGGGGGGAUUUCAGCAGCUGGGCCCUAAUCUUAAAAAGUAAUUAUGGAGAACAUCCACAUGCUCCAGUCCCAUCUUGGCUUCUUGGGAUAGGAAUGGGCAAAUGCCAAAGGCUAGAAGUGGGCCCUGGGCGACUGUGCUCUUGUUGACCUUUGCAAAGGAAGAGAAGAGCGGUUCUCUUCAUCUUCUACAUUUAACAUCUAGUCUGGAUCUCCUAUUUCAUCAGGGGUGGUCAGAGUCUGAUCAUCUAGUUUGAAUUUCUGAGUUUACAUUAGAAGUAUUUUGCUUUUUCCUAGAGGAUUUCUUCUUGACCUAAGAACCGAAGCCCUAAUAGAAGCAAUGAGAAUCGGGACUCUGGGGCAGAGUUUCAGUAGGGAAAGGUACCCCUGAAGUCAGACUCAUUGUAUGGGUGAAAAAAACAAUCCACGGAGGACAUGGGGGUCGCCAUAGCACUCCAGGUCUCUCUAGACUCAAGUUCCUGAUUUUUGCAUUGAGGAAUUGGCUGUUCGUUGGCAUUUCUAACACUGGGCGAUCAGUCUGGGUGAGAAGAGAGCUUGGGGCAAGUUCUUAUCAUAUGUCUGUAGUUCUAUCACUACAAAUUCCAAAUGAGUCCUACGACCUCCAUUGACACACAGGUUGCUGGAGGGGAAUGGGUUCAAAACCCCAGAGGCGAUAGAAAAUGUCCCUGGGCUACUCACACGUCUAAGCUGUAGGGUCCUUCCUAGGCCUGUCCAUGUGACAAGGAAGGUCAGCCAGCGCCUGAAGUCCCUGUCUGAAUGUACAAAGGCCCCUAGUACAUAGGCUGAAGUUUGGGUCUCCUACAGGCUUUGCUUAAAGAGUGGUUGCAAUCCACUUGCCUCUUGGUAAGGGUGCAGCAUGUUUGGCUGCACCACUGCACUACCCUGUCUCUGGGCACUGGAGGAGGAAAAUAAAGUUUAACAACUGCUCAUUUGGGCCAAAUGGUCAAUAAUGAGUGUUGACUGUGGUAAAAAAAAAAAUAGGGUGUGAUAAUGGGAGAGUAAGCUACGUGCCCGUCAGGAGUCACUUUUUCUGUGCUUCACUGUCCUUAUCUGUAAAAUGGUCGGAAUAACUUGCCUACCUCACAGGGUUGUUGUGAGGCUCAAACCUUGGAGCACUAAUGAUCAACGAGUGCUUGGUGAAGGUCUGUCUUGACGUGAUUUCCUCUACUCGGGACAUAUUUCUGUGAUGGAAAAUCUGUCUUAAUCCUGGGGCAAAUGGAACACCGGGCUUCUCUGUUCUAGAGGAAAAGUGGGAGCCAAGGAAGCGUGUCCAAGGACUCCUCUUUCAGGUGUCCCUUGAAAGCUUGAGCCAGUUUUUAGGAGUGUCGAAAAAUAAAGCGUUCAGACUUUACAAA